rfam:Rattus norvegicus chromosome 10, whole genome shotgun sequence.
GGGGAUUUAGCUCAGGGGUAGAGCGCUUGCCUAGCAAGCGCAAGGCCCUGGGUUCAGUCCCCA